UACGAAGGGGGCUAGCGUUGUUCGGAAUUACUGGGCGUAAAGGGCUCGUAGGCGGCCAACUAAGUCAGACGUGAAAUCCCCAGGCUUAACCUGGGAACUGCGUCUGAUACUGGAUGGCUUGAAUUCGGGAGAGGGAUGCAGAAUUCCAGGUGUAGCGGUGAAAUGCGUAGAUAUCUGGAGGAACACCGGUGGCGAAGGCGGCAUCCUGGACCGGUAUUGACGCUGAGGCGCGAAAGCUAGGGGAGCAAACGGG
rnacentral:rRNA from 1 species